rnacentral:rRNA from 1 species
GACGAACGCUGGCGGCGUGCUUAACACAUGCAAGUCGAACGGAAAGGCCCUGCUUUUGUGGGGUGCUCGAGUGGCGAACGGGUGAGUAACACGUGAGUAACCUGCCCUUGACUUUGGGAUAACUUCAGGAAACUGGGGCUAAUACCGGAUAGGAGCUCCUGCUGCAUGGUGGGGGUUGGAAAGUUUCGGCGGUUGGGGUUGGACUCGCGGCUUAUCAGCUUGUUGGUGGGGUAGUGGCUUACCAAGGCUUUGACGGGUAGCCGGCCUGAGAGGGUGACCGGCCACAUUGGGACUGAGAUACGGCCCAGACUCCUACGGGAGGCAGCAGUGGGGAAUAUUGCACAAUGGGCGGGAGCCUGAUGCAGCAACGCCGCGUGCGGGAUGACGGCCUUCGGGUUGUAAACCGCUUUCGCCUGUGACGAAGCGUGAGUGACGGUAAUGGGUAAAGAAGCACCGGCUAACUACGUG